rnacentral:tRNA from 1 species
AAUAAGAUGCCUGAAUAAAAAGGAUUAUUUUGAUAGAAUAAAUUAUGUACAUUAUUACUCUUAUUA